rnacentral:rRNA from 1 species
AGCGGCGGACGGGCGAGUAACGCGUGAGAAUCUGGCUUCAGGAGGGGGACAACAGUUGGAAACGACUGCUAAUACCCCAUAUGUCUACGGAUGAAACGGUGAAUUCCGCCUGAAGAUGAGCUCGCGUCGGAUUAGCUAGUUGGUGAGGUAAAGGCUCACCAAGGCGACGAUCCGUAGCUGGUCUGAGAGGAUGAUCAGCCACACUGGGACUGAGACACGGCCCAGACUCCUACGGGAGGCAGCAGUGGGGAAUUUUCCGCAAUGGGCGAAAGCCUGACGGGGCAACGCCGCGUGCGGGAAGACGGCCUGUGGGUUGUAAACCGCUUUUCUCUGGGAAGAAUAAGUUGACGGUACCAGAGGAAUCAGCAUCGGCUAACUCCGUGCCAGCAGCCGCGGUAAUACGGAGGAUGCAAGCGUUAUCCGGAAUUAUUGGGCGUAAAGCGUCCGCAGGCGGCUUAUCAAGUCUGCUGUUAAAGGUCGGGGCUCAACUCCGGUUAGGCAGUGGAAACUGAUAGGCUAGAGUGUGGUAGGGGUAGAGGGAAUUCCCAGUGUAGCGGUGAAAUGCGUAGAUAUUGGGAAGAACACCAGUGGCGAAGGCGCUCUACUGGGCCACAACUGACGCUGAGGGACGAAAGCUAGGGGAGCGAAAGGGAUUAGAUACCCCUGUAGUCCUAGCUGUAAACGAUGGACACUAGGUGUUG